AGGUCUGUGAAAUAAAGCAGAACUCACUCAUGCAGCAAAUGUUUAUUGGGUAUGAACCAUAAAGAAGUUGGUGGGAUUACACUUUUGGCAUCUGUAGACAUAUUCUUAGCUCUCAGAAGGUUUUACAUUUUAGAAGGAUAGAUGUUUAAAAAGUAGGUCCUUAAAUUAUAAUGUGAUACAGUACAGGUCCUAAGAACAGGGUUCACUCUCUCUUCCUGUCCUAUUAAGCACCAUUGGAUACAAGCAUCUGAUGUUACAGCUGCUUACAGGACCCCACUAAGUAAUGGUGGUCUUGAAGAACUCAGUGUCCUGUGAAAACUAAAUUCAUGAGUUACCAGGAUUAUUCAAAAUAUCUAUGUUCAAUCUUUGUAUUCAUCUCCACAGGCAGAUGCAUGGCCUUAAGGCCAUUUCUGACAGUAUACUCUGCAGAAAAUCCAGUCUGCAGAUGACACAUGGUGGGCACAUUCUGUGAUACUCCGGGCUCACCUGCUCAACAGUUAUGUCAUUGGAAACUGAGGGUCUGACAACCGAACUGUCUUUUGCAAAGCUGCUGAGGGGCAGAGCUGAGAAGGUGAGCCCAGAUUCCCAGGCCCAGGUUCAACAGAGCGCCCACCCACCAUCCCUCCCCAAGGGACUCUCACACAGUCAACACCAUGAGUGGAUCUUCCAUGUAGUUCUGGUGGCUCGCCCCGUUUGCUGUGGACACCUGGCCAGCCCUGAUGGAGUCUAUCAAAGUCACUAACAAGGCCUCUGCUAAAAUAAUAAACAUAUGUGUAACCACCACCCAAAAGAAGCAGAAGCAGAAGCAGAAGCAGAUGCAGAAGCAGAAGCAGAAGCAGAAGCAGAAGAAGAAGGAGUAGAACAAGGAGGAGGAGAAAAAGCAGCAGCAGCAACAAUAGGAGGAAGAAUAAUAAGAAGAAAGUACAAAAUAUGGCAAUAUGUUUAUAUA